rnacentral:rRNA from 1 species
CGGACGGGUGAGUAACACGUGAGCAACCUGCCUUUCGAGAGAGGGAUAACCGUUUGGAAACGAACGCUAACUACCUCAUAACGUAUCGUGACCGCAUGAUCGUGAUACCAAAGGAGCGAUCCGCUGAAAGAUGGGCUCGCGGCUGAUUAGAUAGUUGGUGGGGUAACGGCCUACCAAGUCGACGAUCAGUAGCCGGACUGAGAGGUUGAACGGCCACAUUGGGACUGAGACACGGCCCAGACUCCUACGGGAGGCAGCAGUGGGAGUAUUGCGCAAUGGGGGCAACCCUGACGCAAGCAACGCCGCGUGUGGGAAGAAGGUCUUCGGAUUGUAAACCAUUGUCUUCGGUGACGAUAAUGACGGUAGCCGAGGAGGAAGCUCCGGCUAACUACGUGCCAGCAGCAGC